CAGCGGCGAGCGGCGGCAGCGGCAGCGGGAAAGGGAAAGGGAGAGGAAGGCGCGAGCAGCGGGAGGCCUCGAGGGAGGCGCGAGCAGUGGGAAGGCUCGCGGGAGGGCUCACAGGAGGCGAGAGGGCUCGCGGGAGGCGCGAGCAGCGGAAGGGCUCGCAGGAGGCGCGAGCAGCGAGAGGGCUCGCGGGAGGCGCGAGCAGCGGGAAGGCUCGCGGGAGGCGCGAGCAGCGACACCGACGAGCAGCGGCAGCGGGAGCAGCGGCAGCGAGCGACGAGAUCGCGAUCGGGAUCGAGAGCGGCAGCGGCAGCAGGUUAGUGUUGGGUUAGGGUUAGGGUUAGGGUUGGGGUUAUAUCGGUUUAGUUGGUUCGAUUGAACCAACUAAUAACCGAACCAGGAUCGAACCAGACCUAAAAUUCUGGUUCGGUCGCCUUGGUUUACCCAGGCGCUCGCCCGAAGCGCCCAGCGCCUGGGCUCGGGCGAGCGCCCAGGCGGCGCCUGUUUGAAGCGCGCCGCCUGGGACAUUAGCAAGGCGCUCGGGCCUCGCCUCGCCUCGCCCGAGCGCCUAGGCGAGCGCCCGAGCGCCUUUUGCAAUCACUGAU
rnacentral:lncRNA from 1 species